AUACCCCACCUCUAUUACUAAUCAUAGACUUGCACUGAUAUACCAGGUUGCCAAGUUCAAGCAGAUUGAUGUUGUCGCUGCUCAAAGCAUUAACACAAAGCUUCGAGUCACUUUCUAUUAUCACUUCAGUCACAGGGAGGUGCUUUAACCACGAUAGAGCCUCUGUAAUCCCGACCAUUUCUGCUUCCAUUACAUGUACAGUGCCAGCAAACUUCAUUACCCUUCCUCUAGAAAUUGUCCGAGAUUUUGGGCAAGCGUCUUGGAAAACGAUAACGAUACUAUUGGUGGGGAGUCGGUGUCAGGAGGCGAGAAAGAAUUUAAGAAGAAUCAAUAGUUUGUCAAUUUAUCUCAGCAGCUCGCUGUUCAUUGUUUAGAAAUUUAUGAUAAGGGUGUGUGUAUCUAAUUUGUUUGAUGCCAUAAUUUGUUUGAUGCCACAAAUUGUACAUAAUUUUUUAGUUUUGGAAGUUAAUGUUUUCGUUAGAAUGAAAUAUUGCAGUACCAUCAAGGAAUUUAAUGUUUUUGAUGGAACAGCCUGAUUAAAAUA